rnacentral:rRNA from 1 species
CCUACGGGAGGCAGCAGUUAGGAAUUUUGCGCAAUGGCCGAAAGGCUGACGCAGCAACGCCGCGUGGAGGACGAAGGCCCUCGGGUCGUAAACUCCUUUUGCACGGGAAGAUGGUGACGGUACCGUGCGAAUAAGCCCCGGCUAACUACGUGCCAGCAGCCGCGGUAA